GGGUGCACAUGACUGCUCAUAGAUAGGAUUUUGCUCAUAAUCCCAUGACAGCAGAUCUGUUUGUUUAAUCUACAAACGCCCAAAUAUGAGCAAAAUCCCAUCUACGAGCAGUUCAUGACCGCCC
rnacentral:pre_miRNA from 1 species